rnacentral:rRNA from 1 species
GACGUAGGGCGCGAGCGUUGUCCGGAUUUAUUGGGCGUAAAGAGCUCGUAGGCGGCUUGUCGCGUCUGCUGUGAAAACCUAAGGCUCAACCUUGGGCUUGCAGUGGGUACGGGCAGACUAGAGUGCGGUAGGGGUGACUGGAAUUCCUGGUGUAGCGGUGAAAUGCGCAGAUAUCAGGAGGAACACCGGUGGCGAAGGCGGGUCUCUGGGCCGAUACUGACGCUGGAGGAGCGGAAAAGCCGUGGGGGAGCGAAACAGG